GACGAACGCUGGCGGCGUGCUUAACACAUGCAAGUCGAACGGAAAGGCCUCUUUCGGGGGGUACUCGAGUGGCGAACGGGUGAGUAACACGUGAGUAACCUGCCCUUGACUUUGGGAUAACUUCAGGAAACUGGGGCUAAUACCGGAUAGGAGCUCCUGCUGCAUGGUGGGGGUUGGAAAGUUUCGGCGGUUGGGGAUGGACUCGCGGCUUAUCAGCGUGUUGGUGGGGUAGUGGCUUACCAAGGCUUUGACGGGUAGCCGGCCUGAGAGGGUGACCGGCCACACUGGGACUGAGAUACGGCCCAGACUCCUACGGGAGGCAGCAGGGGGGAAUCUUGCACAAUGGGUGGAAGCCUGAUGCAGCAACGCCGUGUGCGGGAGGACGGUCUUCGGGUUGUAAAACGAUUUCGCUCAUGACGAAGCUUUGUGUGACGGUAGUGGGUAAAGAAGCACCGGCUAACUACGUG
rnacentral:rRNA from 1 species